rnacentral:lncRNA from 1 species
AUGCGAAACGCCGGUUUAUCGCGCUGGGAACGGCGUUUGCAUGCACGUUUCCCUGUUCCCUCGGCGCUCCGCAAUCGGCCGGUGUAUCAGCGCGGGUCUGAACGCGGCACCGGCGCCGGGAGGCGGUCGGUGCCUCCAGCCGGCGGAAGGGGGCUUUCCCGGCUUCGGAGGGCUUUGGGAAGCGGAGUGGAGCAGCGGCGGCUGGCCGGGGGGCUCCGGGGCGCCAGACCCAAACCCCCGGCAGUGGCAGCGCACCGCCUGCCGAGAGCAGCGCCAGGGCCGGAAUCACCCCGGAGCUCCUGCUUUUCCCCCUUUUCUAGCAAAGCGGGAAUUUAUGCCCCCAGGCUGCAAGUUACUGCGCAAACGGAGCCGCCCGUCAUUUUGGGCCAUGUUUCGCGUGCUCCGUGCYGGGAAGAGGGCAGCCGGCUCCGGCGUCGCCGUGGCCUCCUCGCUGCUGGGGCUUCGCCUCCGCCCUGGGAUGCAUCCCGGUCCCUCCACGGCGGCGGCACCAGCGCGAAGCUUCGCCCCGUCCGCGGAGCGGCGGCGCUUUGCCGUGUGGCAGGACCGGCCUUCCCCAGCGCCGCAGCUCCCCGGAACGUGCGGUUCAACCGCGGUCCGGACCCGCGGCACGGAAGGAGCCUGCUCCCGACGGCGCCGUUUGCAAGCAGGAAGGGAAACGAAUGUUUUCCUAUAAAGGAGUUUACGCCGGGUAUAAAUUUGAAUGGCAGAAGCUUAAUAUAUUGUAGGCAGAAGCUGYUCCAUCAUUCUGGGGCUAUUAAAAUUUUUAAUCAAAGAUUUUUGCUAUUAAGCUGCCCGGGGUUGGCAGAAGUUUGUUGUUAUUAUAGGUUAAAAUCCACCGCGGUCCAAACAGAUAGGAAAUUAAUUUCCGACGGCAAAGGAGCCGCGGGGCCGGUGCCGGGGGAGCGUUGUGGCAGGCGCCCGAACGCCAGCCCUGCGGGCGCCCUCCUGCCCGGCGGGGCCACACGCGUGGCGCUCGCUCCGGCGCGGAGCCCGGCCGGUCGAUCGGUGCUGCCCAGGGGCCGCGCGGUGCCCGGCCGCCCGCCAGCGUCGGCAGCAGCGGAGACGACGGAGGCGCCUCUCGGGGCCAGGGGGACGGUCUCCCUCCUGAGUAACUGCACCCGCGCUUUUAAUUUAGGCGCCACAACGGCCGUAAAGCCUGCAAAGCAGUUCUUCAUCUCAGUAAUUCAUCUCCCCAACUUUUACUGUGAUUGA